rnacentral:rRNA from 1 species
AGAGCGAACGCUGGCGGCAGGCCUAACACAUGCAAGUCGAGCGGCCGUAGCAAUACGGCAGCGGCAGACGGGAGAGUAACACGUGGGAACGCGCCCUUCGGUUCGGAAUAACUCAGGGAAACUUGGGCUAAUACCGGAUACGCCCUUACGGGGAAAGAUUUAUUGCCGAAGGAACGGCCCGCGUCCGAUUAGCUUGUUGGUGAGGUAACGGCUCACCAAGGCGACGAUCGGUAGCUGGUCUGAGAGGAUGACCAGCCCCACUGGGACUGAGACACGGCCCAGACUCCUACGGGAGGCAGCAGUAGGGAAUCUUGCGCAAUGGGCGAAAGCCUGACGCAGCAACGCCGCGUGGGGGAUGAAGGCCUUCGGGUUGUAAACUCCUUUCAGUGGGAACGAAAUUGACGGUACCACAAAAGAAGCCCGGCCAACUACGUGCCAGCAGCCGC